CUUACCAUGCAGUCGAACGAUGACCCGGUGCUUGCACCGGUGAUUAGUGGCGAACGGGUGAGUAACACGUGAGUAACCUGCCCUUAACUCUGGGAUAAGCCUGGGAAACUGGGUCUAAUACCGGAUAUGACUCCUCAUCGCAUGGUGGGGGGUGGAAAGCUUUAUUGUGGUUUUGGAUGGACUCGCGGCCUAUCAGCUUGUUGGUGAGGUAAUGGCUCACCAAGGCGACGACGGGUAGCCGGCCUGAGAGGGUGACCGGCCACACUGGGACUGAGACACGGCCCAGACUCCUACUGGAGGCAGCAGUGGGGAAUAUUGCACAAUGGGCGCAAGCCUGAUGCAGCGACU
rnacentral:rRNA from 1 species